UUUCUGUUAAAUCCCCCCCCCUUCCCAUAAUCCUUUUCCCCUAUUGGGAAAAAAUAUUAUCACCUGUAUGGAGAAAGGCUCAUUGAGGAGCCAUGUUUAGCAACAAGAAGCCUGGAAGGGGGAAAAAAAGAUUCUCUGUGUCUGGUUGAGGUUUUAAAACAUGUUGGGUGAAAAUGAAUGCCGCUGAGCAUUGGUUGCCAGGUAGUCUGCAGACACCACAGCUUCUGUUACUGACCCCAAAAGAAGGCUGUACUUCAGUGAUGGGGAUCUAUUUUUUAAUUUGCCUUUUUUAAUUUGCAGAGCCCCCCGAAAGGGGAAAGCUUCCCCUUUCUGGGUUCAAUGUUUGGUCUGUCUGGAGCUGCCGACAGCCUUCCUCUCUACUUCUAGGAAACCAGCGCAGUCUUUAGCCAUCUCCCCUUAAGGGCUAAGAUCCAGCCCUGAGCUCUACUAUAAUCAUCCCAGCAGGGCCAGGGUGUGUCUUCUGUAAACUGGACAACUCUGAGUUUAUCAGUUCCCCAUCUCCCAUCAGUGCACCAUCUCUCCAUGACAAAUAUCGCUCCACUCCAACUUUUCAUUCCUCUUAAUGCACAUUUUCAAAUUCCCGAUUAACCCAAAGAGCUGACAGUUCCUUCUGCUUUUGCGCUCAGGGCUGCUUACGAAAGCUCACAAUGACAAGGAUUGCCAGCUCCGGUUUGGGAAGUUCCUGAAGAUUUUGGAGGGGGAGCCUGGGAAAAGUGGGAGAGAAGGAACGUCGGCAGGGAUGUGUCGCCUUAGAGGCAGCUCUCCAAAGCAGCCAUUCCCUCCAGGGGAACGUGUCUCUGUAGCCUGGAGACCAGUUGUAAUUCUAGGAGAUCUUCAGCCACCACCACCUGGAGGUUGGCAACCCUAAAGCUAUUAAAUAAAUACAUAUUUUAGAAUAUGCUGUAUUCCAGGUGGGAUUUUAGAGCAGAAAGGAGGUAAAGUGUGGCCCCCAGAUUAGGGCUUCCAACUCCGGUUUAGGAAAUUCCUGGAGAGUUGUGGGUGGUGGACUCUGGGAAGGAGUGGGAGCUCAGCAGGAACGUGAUGGAAUAGAAUUCACCCUUUGAAGUUGUCAUUUUCUCCAGGGGAAUGCAUCUCUGUAGUCUGGAGAUCAGAUGUAAUCCCACGCGAACUCCAGGCCUUACUACCUAGAGGUGGACAACCCUACCACAGAUGACAGGAGGUCAGUGCCAUCUACAGCCCACUUCAGACUAACACAUGAGCACUCUUUUUCUGUCUCUACCGACAGACAGAGAGGAAGAGAUCCUUUCCCCCAGUGUCGCAGGACCUCCCUGCCUUGUGUCUCCUCCUAAUACUGAUUGUAUUAACCUCAUACUGUGUAAUCCGCCUUGAGCCUCAGAGAGAAAGGCGGAUUAUAAAAUGACAUAAAUAAAAAAAUAAAACUGUUCCCACUUGCUCACAAACAAGAAUUAUGACUUUAUUUAUUUAUUUACUUAGUUACUUCAUUUAACCCCUGAUAUUUGUCCCCAUGGGGACCCAAAGGGACACAAAGCAUUCUCCUCCCCCCAUUUUAUUCUCACAACAAUUCUGUGAGUGGGUCGUUGGUCCAAGGUCAGUCCAGGAAGCUUCUACGGUACGGUGGUAUUCGAACCUGGGUCUCCCAGCUCCUAGUCAAACCACUACACCACUUUGCCUCUUAAAGCAAUCCUUGAACCAUGGGGCAGUGAAAACAAAAACAGGAGAACGGAAUGACAAGAUGAUUUAAGGUCAAGAUGGAGAAAUAAAAAAAGGCUGGUUCUGGAAAAUCAAGACCCCCCCCCCUCAUAGAUCUGCAGUUCUAACUACCUGAUGUUUUUAUUAAUUUUGUUGACUUUGUAUUUUUAGGAGCAAUCCAAAGGCAGCAUCUCAAAGUUGUUUUUAAAGAAACAAAUAGUGCAAAAGUCACCUGGCCAGCAUUUCAUGCUCCAGGGCAGCUGCCAGAGGAGAAGGUACAGCCAGUAAAUGUGCAUGUUUGAUUAUUGCCUUCUGGCCCUCCAGCUUUCUAAAGAACAGGACGUCCUUCAGAGGAAGAAAUGCUUUGCACAUGCUCAAGGGCAUGGCCCUUCCGUUGAUUGUUUUUAAAUACUGCUUGUCAUCCAAAGGAAAGGUGCCAAGGUUCCCAGGCAGCUAUCUAACAGAAGAGGAUUGUUUUGGCUACCGAUGUUCCACCGAGAAUCAGCCUUGGGAAACUACUGCUCUCCCUACUUCAAAGGCGUUGUUUUGGGAACCGUGGGGGGGAGGAGGGGCCCGCUGGGAUCUGUUACUCUGUACCUUAUGCCUUGCCUAUCAUUGGUAACAAUGCAUAUGCACCAUCCUGAAUAUUGCAUUCAGGCUAGUGGACUAUAAUGAACUAUUUCUUCAAUAAAUUCCUUUUGGAAACAA